UUUUUUUUCUUUCUCGUGCCGCUGCAACCUCUGCGGCCGCCGGGGCCGUUUCAGGACGGAUUCGCCCCAGUGCGAACAGCUUGAAACAUGUUUUUCACAUGCAAUAUUGAUCUAUUUUUCCCAUUUUUUGGGGUUUUGCUUUUUUAUUUAAUGCACUUCCUUUUGCCUCCGGUUCUUCCAGCAAAAGCAACUCUCGUUUUGCUCCAUUUUCCUACGUUUUGCCAGUCCGCCUUUUCCCGCUUGCUCUUCCAACCAGGGGGACUUUGAAAUGCAAAAGCAUUGCGGAAAGGCUGCUUUUAGCGAAGGUCAGGCAGAAAUUAACCCCAAUCUGGCUUUUUUCCCCCCCCCUCCUCAGUUAGGGCUCGCACAGUGCCCUUAUUGUGCGCAGAGAGAUCGCUCACGGAAACCGUCUGGGACCCAAAAUGGUUUUGCAUGAACGGCAAAAUUUCCCACCGGCUCUAAAAAACACGGCUGGCACUUUGCAUCGCCCCGUGGGAAAAUUGCCAGGGAGCAUUGGAGGUGCAGGUGGAGGUGCACGUUGGAGGUGCCCAUGGAGGUGCCCGUGGAGGUACAUGUUGGAGGUGCACGUGGAGGUACAUGGUAGAGGUGCACGUGCAGGUGGACGUGAAGGUGCACAUGGAGGUGCACGUUGGAGGUGCCCAUGGAGGUGCAGGUGGAGGUGCAUGUUGGCGGUGCACACUGGAGGUGCACAUGGAGGUGCACGUUGGAGGUGCUGAUGGAGGUGCACGUGGAGGUGCAUGUUGGAGGUGCAUGUGGAGGUGCAUGUUAGAGAUGCACAUGGAGGUGCCCGUGGAGGUACAUGUUGGAGGUGCAUGUGGAGGUGCAUGUUAGAGAUGCACAUGGAGGUGCAGGUGGAGGUGCCUGUUGCAGAUGCAUGUGGAGGUGCAUGUGGAGGUACACACUGGAGGUGCCCAUGGAGGUGCCCGUGGAGAUUUCUCCUUACCUGAAGACCUUCCCGCACCUCAGACUCACUCUGGUUUUCCAUCCGUUGGCCAAUAGCUGACGCGUCUGCAUGAGGACCUUCGCCUGUAGACAUCGUUCUUCACCCAAAAUGGUUUCUGGUUUUUCUUCUGAGCCACGAAACCCAAGCGUCCUCUCCAACUUUGGUCACUGGCCAGAGGAAAGCUCUGCAAAUGCUUAUUUUUGAGGAUCUCUGCAUCUCACAUGCUGGUUUUUGGCAAAGCUUCAUUUUUUUCAUCCUUAGCAACAAAUGCAUUUACCAAAAUUGAAGCUAUUGAGGGCAACAGGGCUGAUUUUAGGGCAAAAAUGACUUUUUCCCCUCUCCUUUAGGUUUUUAAAGUUAUCCAGAUGACUAUGACUAAAUACCUCCCGAAGGGUUGCUCUGGUUGGGUCCGCCUAGACCAAGACACCAGUGAACACCAGGAGAUGAUUCCCAUCGCUUCCACCACCCCAAAGCCAACAAAGCUCAGGAAAAUGGUUCAUUAAAAAGGUUGCUCCAGCAUGGAUACAUCAUCCUGGCUUUGGGCUUGGUUGAACAUGAGUCCAGAUGGACCCUCAAAAUACAUCACGGCCAGCACCCAAGUAGACCCUCAAAAGGCGUCAUGGCCAGAGCCCAGGUGAGCCUUCAAAAGAUGUUGCACCUGGAACCCAGGUGGACCCUCAAAACAUGUCACAGCCGGUGCCCAGGUGGACCCUCAAAACACAUCAUGGCCAGCCAGGGAAACAGAUCAAGUGGUUGCUGGAGCUGGACCACCUCUGGUCCUCCAUGUCCAUCUUCAGCUGUGGUGGAAACUCAUCCCAGGUGGCUGGUUGAUGCCUCUAUACUCAGCCAUUUUGGGGGUUUGGGGUUUUUUGGGGGGUUGCUACAUCUGCCCACAGAUGCCUCCGGCUGCAGCAAGCCCCCAUGGAGGUGGGUCGCGCCUACUGCUCCGGGUAGACGGGGGCUUCAACUUCGUUCCGCCUGCGGUCUGAGAUGCGACUGGAAGGGGUGAAAAGCGUGGAGCAUCCUUCCACCCCACAGGAGCCACAGAGGGAGAAAGGCACUAAAACAUGGUGCUGAGGGAUCUGACAUGUGGCUCCAACCACGUGUGGACAUCCAAGGUGGACUCAACAGAACGGCCAAGGUGCAAAACAGCUGGCCAGAGGUGUGAAAUGCCUCCCUGAUGCGUGGAUCCACCUCAGCUCCUGAUGCAUGGAUUAAAUGAGGUGAAGCUCAUCUGAAUGUCAGCACCCAAGGCUUCCUCUGACUUUGCCCUAUUCCCAGUAGAAGACUUUGGGCAUCUCCAGAUCUCCUUAUCCAAGUCCUUCUCCCAAAAUAUCUACUUAUCUCCAUGAGCCACCCAUAGAGUUUAGCUCCAGCUGUGAGGUUUAAAUGAAUAUAGAUCUCUGGGCAGCAUGAAUCCCACCACUCUUGGGCUCAGAUGUCCCACUGGUAACCACCUAGUCAUGGUGGACCAGCCCCAAUUUUGCUAUUUGGAUACUGAGGUUAGAAAGGACCAAAUCUGCCUGUUUUAGCCCCAUUAUUUUGCCUCCUCAUUGCUUCUCAUGGGGAUCAGAGGGGCCAAGCAGGAGAGUGAAGCAGAAGAGACCCCAUAAAAUGGCGAUGAGCUGUUUGUUUCUGCUAGAUCUUGGCUUGCUUUCCCUUUUUCGCAAAACAAAUUUCUGGAUUAGGGUCAAAAAGCAAUUUUUUAAAGGACAUUUUAGGGCAGAGCCAACGUAUUGGAUGUCUAUUCUCCAUACGCACGUCUCUAACCGUCGUCCCAUCGCUGAUCCGCACCUCGGCUUGGGAAAAAACGAACUUUUGGGGGAAUUUAAUAGGGAGGGUUCAUCCAGCCGAAUUCGUAGCGUGAGAUGUGAAUGCGAAGGUGGGAAGAGCCACUUACGGGCGUAAUUUCCUCGGUUUUGUGUAUCAGUCACUGUGGACAGAACCAGAGAAGAUGGAGACGCCCUUGCUGGACUCGGAGGUCAUUCUUUGCCCUCUCGUUUGCAAAAAAAUAGCAUCGU